rnacentral:rRNA from 1 species
GAGUUUGAUCCUGGCUCAGAUUGAACGCUGGCGGCAUGCCUUACACAUGCAAGUCGAGCGGCAGCGCGGGGCGAACCGCGACGGGUGCGUAACACGUGAGCAACCUAACCGAUUUGUCGGGGGAGUAGCUGUCCUAACGGGCGAGGUAAUACCGCAUACGCUCAUCGAGUCUCCUGGCUUGAUGAGGAAACCUCCGGGGCGAGAUCGAGGGGCGUCGCGGCCUAUCAGCUAGUUGGCGAGGUCACGGCUCACCAAGGCGACGACGGGUAGGCUGGUCUGAGAGGAUGGCCAGCCACAUUGGGACUGAGAAACGGCCCAGACUCCUACGGGAGGGCAGCAGUGGGGAAUCUUGCGCAAUGGGCGAAAGCCUGACGCAGCGACGCCGCGUGGGGGAGUGACGGGUUUCGGCUUGUAAACCCCUCGUUGCCCGGGACGGAACUUCUCCUUUCGAGGAGAUUGACGGUACCGGGUGAGGAAGCACCGGCUAACUCUGUGCCAGCAGCCGCCGUAAG